GAUCAACGCUGGCGGCGUGCCUAACGCAUGCAAGUCGGACGGGCCGGGGGAGACCCUGGUGCCGUGGCGGACGGGUGCGUAACACGUGGGGAACCUGCCCUUGGGUGGGGGGUAGCCCGCGGAAACGCGGGGUAAUUCCGCAUACGCUUCCCUGGCGGUGGGCUGGGGAAGGAAAGCCGGGAACGGCGCCCGAGGAGGGUCCUGCGGCCGAUUAGCUAGUUGGUGGGGUCACGGCCUACCAAGGCGAUGAUCGGUAGCUGGUCUGAGAGGACGGCCA
rnacentral:rRNA from 1 species